rnacentral:tRNA from 1 species
UGUUCCAUAGCGUAGCGGUCAGCCCAUCUGCUUUACAUGCAGAAGGUCCUGGGUUCAUGUCCCAGUGGAGCCA